rnacentral:rRNA from 1 species
UACGGAGGGUCCAAGCGUUGUCCGGAUUUAUUGGGUUUAAAGGGUCCGCAGGCGGCCUGUUAAGUCAGAGGUGAAAUCCUACCGCUCAACGGUAGAACUGCCUUUGAUACUGAAAGACUUGAGUCAUUGUGAAGUGGUUAGAAUGUGUGGUGUAGCGGUGAAAUGCUUAGAUAUCACACAGAAUACCCAUUGCGAAGGCAGAUCACUAACAAUGUACUGACGCUCAUGGACGAAAGCGUGGGUAGCGAACAGG